GUGAUGCUCACGUUGGAUGGACACGAAUGGAUAGCACUGGAAGAAAAGAGUGAGAGACGAGACUUCGACGCCUCUGCAAGGCCAAUGCGUGCGCACAGUGGAGCACUCGCUCUGGGUAAACGGUAACAAGUCGAAAUCGCACCCUAGGGGUACGGCACGGGUAGCUGCGAUAUCUUCGUUCGGCAUCGCGAACGAGCUACGAACGUGCAAUGCGAGUGUCUGUAUGACGACAGGAGAGAUACGUGGGAUAUCACGCUGGAGCGCUGCUGACUGCGUUGCGUUGUACGCGUGUCAACGUGAAAAAGUAUGGAUCCACUUUGCUGUCUCUGGCGUACGCUGUAAUAUCUGGGUAUCUUGUCGUUGUUGUUUCACCAACACCACUCAUUUCACGAUACGCCCCCUGGCUGCUCUUUUUUGCAGUCUUGGACAAUCCGCUUCACAUACGGGCAUAUCUAGUGUCUAUCCGGCGCCGUCGCAAGCAGUCGCAGAAUGCUCCGAUACAAAUAAACGUCCCGAUAUGGGUGCUUCCUGCGUUAGCCAGCGCACCGGGUACGGACUGGCAGGAGUCGCAGUCUACGCUUCGCUUGCCGUGCUCAUUCUCGUUGUAUACAAUAUCAAUGCGCUCGUCGCAGCGCGGACUGCGUGGGCUCUAUCAGGUGUUUCUGUUUGCGUACUAGCGCGCUCCCUGAGACGAUUGCCCUCUCGCGCUGCACAGCUUGCGUUAUCGCUCGGUAGACGCACUGUGGGCAGGUACAGGAGACUCUUGGGGAUACCGUUGACCGUCUCUUCGCCCGGGUGCUCUGGCCUAGGGUCACGAGCGUCCGCUGUGCCAUUCACUAGGCGAGGACGCUGUACGCUGUCCGGUGCAUGCGCAAGUGCACACUGUUGCAUUCGAGAGUGGAUUUGCAUCACGUGAUGUUCCCCAUGAGCACGAGACAAGUGCCGCAGGGACUAGUCAGUGUCGUGAACAAUUCGAGAGGUGUCGAUCCGUCGACGCUCGCUCUGUGCACCGCACGAUCACACGCUCAGCUGGAAGUGAUCGCUGCGCUGCCUGCAUUCCUGGUCCCUGGAUCGUUCUCGAUGCUUGAAGCAAAGACGGCAGACGCGGGACACGUAUCGCACCCGAGAACGCAUGCUGGUAUGGAAUGUCGUCUCGUCGAUGGCCGCAGACCAAGGCAGCAUCGUGUCUCGAACGGCACUGAAUGCCUGGCGAAGCAUGAUCAGCGAAUGUGUCGCAUGACCAUGAGUGCACAAGUCGCCAACGGAAGACGUCGAGUACGGUUCGUGGUCCAUCCAGAGACGCGAUUUACCGCACCUGCGAGGCGCCACAGACCAGGAAGAUCGAGGACUUGAAAUAUGAGCGAUUUGGGCAUGCCCUAUGGAUCGAGAGGAAAAACGCAGAUACUCGUGUGUAUGCAUUGGGUAAGGAUCUCGGAUACUUUACGAACCAGUGUCCGAGGGCGUCGUGUAUCAUCUCGAUUCCGUUCACGCACCGAAUGCCAGCACCACAAGACUCGAAAGCGUCACGCUAACACAGACUACGACCGAGGAUCCCGGAACCAGGUCUGAACCUGUGAGCACAUCUCGGUGCACUCGCAAUGUCCGUACAGUACGUCUUGACCUGGGUUCUGAAUAGAAUCGCAAGGAACAAAAACACCCAUCCGUCCAGUGUUCUGGUCUCAUUUAUGAAGAGUCUAUCUCAGCCGAUGAGCGCAUUGUCACCCACAAGCAAGGCCCAGUGCCCGAAUUCGCAUUCGCUUGGCGUUAUCCGAUGAAGCGUCUGUCACGAGAGCAAAGCGGUGCGCACGCGCGGUGAUCCAUUCACUGAACAGCAUUUCGAGUGAACGCUUUGCCAGGCGUUCACGAGUGAUCAGUGAAUACGUCGCAGGCGCAGCGCUGCAUUCCGAACAGCGCCAGUGAACGAGCUUCUCUGUGCACGAUCCGAGCGCCUCGCAACAGAGGGGGCCGGCAUCCCACCCAGCUCUCUACUGGAGAGCACCCAGACACCUGCUGGAGAGCGUCGAAUGUUCGUACGGCCCAGUCGCUAGUCGCUAUCGUGCUUAUGCUGCACGGCGAUCAAGGUGCGCAUCGCGACACUUGAAAUAUCGCGUUGCAGAACAUCGUCCCCGCUGUCCAGAAGCAUACGGUUUAUGAAAAAAUCGAGCGUAAAUUGGAGCAAGUGGCCUGCCUCAGGAGCCUCGGAUUCGAUGAUGCACUGUGCGCGAGGGAGCGUCUCGAAUGCUUGUUGUCAUAAAGCGCCUGCAUGGGCAUU